rnacentral:rRNA from 1 species
GACGAACGCCGGCGGCGUGCUUAACACAUGCAAGUCGAACGGUGAAGCGCCUUCCUUUUUGGUGGGUGUGGAUGAGUGGCGAACGGGUGAGUAACACGUGAGUAACCUGCCCCCUUCUUCUGGAUAACCGCAUGAAAGUGUGGCUAAUACGGGAUAUUCUGGGUCUGUCGCAUGAUGGGUCUGGGAAGGAUAUUGUUUCGGUGGGGGAUGGGCUCGCGGCCUAUCAGCUUGUUGGUGGGGUGAUGGCCUACCAAGGCGGUGACGGGUAGCCGGCCUGAGAGGGUGGACGGUCACACUGGGACUGAGACACGGCCCAGACUCCUACGGGAGGCAGCAGUGGGGAAUAUUGCACAAUGGGCGCAAGCCUGAUGCAGCGACGCCGCGUGAGGGAUGGAGGCCUUCGGGUUGUGAACCUCUUUCGCCAGUGAAGCAGGCCUGCCUCGUUUGUGGGUGGGUUGACGGUAGCUGGAUAAGAAGCGCCGGCUAACUACGUG